UCUUAAAAGAGGAUUCCUUUCAGUUUAUAUUUAAAUUUCAGGUUUUAGUUCCUGAAAGUCAAGUCUCACAAACUCUUAGUACAGUGCAAAGGCCAAUGGAGAAUGAGAAUAAAAUCACACAGCUGCCUCCACAUUCAGUAGCAUCGGAAGAGAGGUCUCGAAGUACGAAAUCGCCACAACACACAGUCCAGGUGAGUGUUAAUCAACACUAAAGACAUUUCUCACCUGUUUUGAAUUGAACGUACAUGUCACUGAGGACAAUGUAGUCUCAGUAAAAAUGCAGCUUUGCCUUGAAGUCUGAGAGAAAAGACGGAAUUUUCUUUCAGUCCAGCACUCCUAUGAGGUGGAAGGUGUCUGAGGCCAGCUCUAUUAUAUCAUAUGCUGGUGACCAGCGAGCAACCAGAAGUCCAGCAUCAACAGUUAUGGCAACCCCUACAGCAUCGAAGGACAAGGUUAAACCAGCACUGCAGCUGAUUGGUUCCUCAAAAAUAAACAAAGGAUACAACAUCAAUGAGCUGAUCACCACAACCCCUUCCAGACAGCCUUCAGUGAGCAAACCUUCUAGUACAGGAAAAGAUGUACAAGAUCUUGACAAGAGCACCACCACAGCUUUGGAGAACAGCAAACGUGGCUCAGAGAGAGCAAGCUCGACUCAGAAAUUCCUCAAGGCAUGGGUAUACGUCAUGUGAACUGCAUAUGUUUUAGAUCUUCUUCAAAUGUUCAUAUUAAUGUUGCUCUAUUUUCCUUUCAGCAUAUACCUGUAACCAAAGUUGUUGAAAUGGUGCAAGAAGACAAAGAUGAUGUCAAGGUUACAGAGGAAGAAUAUAUUGAUGAUAUGAUGAAUGUUGUGCCUGACACUCAACCUUUUAUUAAAAAAGACAAGCCUCUGUUGUCUGACCCUGUAUUCAGUGUUUCAAGGGAGAGAAAUACUAUAUCCAGAAAGAUGUCCGAGGGUGUAUCACCAGCUUUUAACGGAGUAUCAUCAUCAUUUAGGAUAAAGGAUCAAAAUGAUUCCUCAUUGUGUGUCCUUAAACAAGAUCAGGCUCAACAGCUGGAAUUCUCAAUGAAAAAACCACCUUCUUCAACAAAGCACAGCUCGACAGAGACAAACUACAAAGACCUACAGAAACAGGUGACCGAGAAGCUAGAGAGGUUACUCAAAGAGAAGAACCAGAGAGCUGGAGACAGAUGUCUGGAAGUGAAUGGCAGUCAGGUGCACAGAGAGCAGCCAGCAGAGAGGGGAGCCAGAGUGAAGGCAGCUCCAGCACAGGAGAAGGAUCACAGCAGUGCAGAAGCAUGUACCAAACCUUCCUUCCCAGCUCCAGCGAAGCAGGCUGAGAAAGCAGCACCUGUGCUGGACAGAAAGCCAAGCACAUUUAGCAAGGACUCCUCAUUCCGAAAACAGGGGAGUUCACAGUCGACGAAGGAAACUGAAAUUUCUGAGAGGAGGACAGAUCAGAGAAAGACCAUCUCAGUGAUGAAAAGAUGCAUUGAUGUCACAGAAACAACAACGUCCAUUUCAGGAAAGUGCAGAACUGUGACAGGACAAGGGCUAGAUACUUCUCUUCAGAAAAGAUCUCACCUGGAAAAAUCUUGGUCAUUUUCAUUCACAGUAAGUAUUGUGAAGUGUGGUAUUAUUUGUGUAUAUAAGGGUUCACACAUAUAUACUGUAGGAGUUCUUACCAUAUCAGCUCUUAAAAACCUUUAA
rnacentral:lncRNA from 1 species